rnacentral:rRNA from 1 species
AGUUAUAUGCUCGUCUCAAAGAUUAAGCCAUGCAUGUCUGAGUGCCCUCCUUAGAUCCAAAGAGAAACCGCGAAUGGCUCAUUAUAUCAGCUAUGAUUCCUUGAAGGUACAGUUAUUCUUAAUUGGAUAACUGUGGCAAUUCUAGAGCUAAUACAUGCACUUAGUCCCUUGCCUUGUGUGUAUACACAGGCGGGGGCGCACUUAUUAGAAUCAUGACCGGCAUGUUCUGGUUACGGCCAGCAACUAAACUGCCAUUAUGAUGACUCUGGAUAACCAAGCUGAGCGCUACUCGCGCCUCUUCUUUCAAGUGUCUUACCUAUCAGCUACUCUGUAGUGCAAGUGCCUACAGUGGCUAUAACGGGUGACGGGGAAUCAGGGUUCGAUUCCGGAGAGGGAGCCUGAGAAACGGCUACCACAUCUAAGGAAGGCAGCAGGCACGCAAAUUACCCACUCCUGGCAUGGGGAGGUAGUGACGAAAAAUAACAAUGCGAGUGCUCGAAAGGGUGCUUGCAAUUGUAAUGAGUACACUUUAAAUCCUUUUGCAAGUACCAAUUGGAGGGCAAGUCUGGUGCCAGCAGCUGCGGUAAUUCCAGCUCCAAUAGCACAUGUCAGAGUUGCUGCGGUUAAAAAGCU